rnacentral:tRNA from 1 species
CAAAUUAAAGCUUAUAUAGUAUUUUAUUUACAUUAAAAAGAUAGUUGUUAAUUCAAUUAAUUUGA